CAGCCAGCAAGAUGCCUCUGAGAAAUACAAACACUGAAGAUUCUGAAAUGACAGAGAUUCUAUGACCAUGCCUUCCUUCAUCUUCACUGAAUUUCAAGGAUAUGAACUAUCUAAGAAAUGGACUGGCUUGAC